rnacentral:rRNA from 1 species
UACGAAGGGGGCUAGCGUUGUUCGGAAUCACUGGGCGUAAAGGGCGCGUAGGCGGCCUGGCAAGUCGGGGGUGAAAGCCUGUGGCUCAACCACAGAAUGGCCUUCGAUACUGCUGGGCUUGAGACCGGAAGAGGUCAGUGGAACUGCGAGUGUAGAGGUGAAAUUCGUAGAUAUUCGCAAGAACACCAGUGGCGAAGGCGGCUGACUGGUCCGGUUCUGACGCUGAGGUGCGAAAGCGUGGGGAGCAAACAGG